AUUGCUUCUUGGCUCCUUAGAGCUAAUAUCAAAGUGUUGUGUCUGGUCUUCUUAGUUUAAUAUCUGGUAUGUCCUUGAUGUGAGGACUGUAUAUUAGCUUGAUUUUUGAAAUGGGGUGGGGUUAGAACAGAAACUUGCUUUGUCUGCUCUGUGCAUUGACCUGGUAUUGCAGUGUCUCCAGGAAAGUUGUAUCUUCU
ensembl:snRNA U2 U2 spliceosomal RNA